UGUCCUUCACUACGAGGGUUCCUAAGUUUCUUUGAGGUGAGGUGGUUCUUACUGCAGCCUAUCUUAUUAACCGGAUGCCUCUUCAGCUUUAGACUAUCGCACGCUACUUGAGUGCCUACAAGAAGUAUCUUCUUUUAUUAUACCUCCUCGGAUAUUUGGGUGUGUAUGCUUUGUCCGAGAUCAUCGAUUUAUGAUUAGUAAACUGG
rnacentral:lncRNA from 1 species